rnacentral:rRNA from 1 species
AGGACGAACGCUGGCGGCGUGCUUAACACAUGCAAGUCAAGGGGGCCCAGCAAUGGGCAACCGGCGAACGGGUGCGUAACACGUGAGCAACCUACCGAACUGUGGGGGAUAGCCGGCCUAACGGCCGAGUAAUACCGCGUACGCUCUCAGAGAGGCAUUUCUUUGAGAGGAACCUACGGGACAGAUCGAGGGGCUCGCGGCCUAUCAGCUAGUUGGCGAGGUAACGGCUCACCAAGGCAACGACGGGUA